GGUGCAAACUAUUAUAUAGAGGAUGGAUAAACAACAAGAUCCUACUGUACAGUACAGGGAAGUAUACUCGAUAUCCUGUGAUUAAAACAUAAUGGAAAGGAAUAUGAAAAAGAAUAUGUAUAUAUGUAUAUGUAUAUAUAACUGAAUCACUUUGCU